AAAAAAGAGGAAGUCCAAGGAAUCUGCUGAAUCUGAAGACCGAACAAACCACAGAGAACAGUGUUUACCUGAUCAGAGACAGCUACAGGAGCAGGAUGAUCUUCAGUAUGCCAGCAUCCACUUCAACAACCAGGCAGAUCCUCUCUACUCCAACAUGAGAGCAGCUCAGCCCCGCAGACACACGGAGGAACAGGAAGUUGCUGAGUACACUGCUGUUAGAUUUAACAGAGGCAGUGAAGCCAAGAGAGGCAGAAGUCACGAAACAGAAGAGUCGUCAUGUGGAUUGUACGCCACAGUCAACAAAACCUGAUGAACAUGACAGGCAGCUGAUGGAGGGAUAUUUGACUUUUGUUUUAAAUGUAAAGCUCAGUUGAAGUUAUGUUGCUUCUAAAAAUAGGUGCCAUAUUGUUAUAUUGAUGUUGUUGGGGUUUAUUUUUUACCCAAUGAAUAAAAUGACAAAUGUUUAAAAGUAAACUCCAGUAAAUUAAUUAAUAAACAGUGGCUGAACCAAAUAAUAGAUCAUUAAAUAAUACAUUAGACAGAGAGCGACAGAUAGAUAGUUCCAGACCAACUUCACGGCCUUUGGGCGAUAUGUUUAUCUUGUUUAUGACCUUCCUGGUCUCAGAGAGGAAUAUUUUUAUCUUAUCCUUA